rnacentral:rRNA from 1 species
GACGUAGGGCGCGAGCGUUGUCCGGAUUUAUUGGGCGUAAAGAGCUCGUAGGCGGCUUGUCGCGUCGUCCGUGAAAACUCGCAGCUCAACUGCGAGCCUGCGGUCGAUACGGGCAGGCUAGAGUUCGGUAGGGGAGACUGGAAUUCCUGGUGUAGCGGUGAAAUGCGCAGAUAUCAGGAGGAACACCGGUGGCGAAGGCGGGUCUCUGGGCCGAUACUGACGCUGAGGAGCGAAAGCGUGGGGAGCGAACAGG